UAGGGAAUCUUGCGCAAUGGGCGAAAGCCUGACGCAGCAACGCCGCGUGAGGGACGAAGGCUUUCUGAGUUGUAAACCUCUUUCAGCAGGGACGAUUGUGACGGUACCUGCAGAAGAAGCACCGGCCAACUACGUGCCAGCAGCCGCGGUGAUACGUAGGGUGCGAGCGUUGUCCGGAUUUAUUGGGCGUAAAGAGCUCGUAGGCGGUUCGAUAAGUCGGGUGUGAAAUCUCCAGGCUCAACCUGGAGUCGCCACUCGAUACUGUCGUGACUAGAGUCCGGUAGGGGACCAUGGAAUUCCUGGUGUAGCGGUGAAAUGCGCAGAUAUCAGGAGGAACACCAGUAGCGAAGGCGGUGGUCUGGGCCGGAACUGACGCUGAGGAGCGAAAGCGUGGGGAGCGAACAGG
rnacentral:rRNA from 1 species